rnacentral:rRNA from 1 species
CAGUCGCCGCGGGAAUACGAAGGGUGCGAGCGUUAAUCGGAAUUACUGGGCGUAAAGCGUGCGCAGGCGGUUGUGUAAGACAGGUGUGAAAUCCCCGGGCUUAACCUGGGAACUGCGCUUGUGACUGCACAGCUAGAGUAUGGCAGAGGGGGGUGGAAUUCCACGUGUAGCAGUGAAAUGCGUAGAGAUGUGGAGGAACACCGAUGGCGAAGGCAGCCCCCUGGGCCAAUACUGACGCUCAUGCACGAAAGCGUGGGGAGCAAACAGGAUUAGAUACCCCUGUAGUCCCUGUCUCUUAUAC